CGUGUAGGCGGAUAUUCAAGUUAGGGGUGAAAGGCCUGGGCUCAACCUGGGAACUGCCUUUAAAACUGAAGAUCUAGAGUACGGAAGAGGGUAGCGGAAUACCCAGUGUAGAGGUGAAAUUCGUAGAUAUGGGUAGAACACCGGUGGCGAAGGCGGCUGCCUGGUCCGUAACUGACGCUGAUGCGCGAAAGCGGUGGGGAGCAAACA
rnacentral:rRNA from 1 species